CCUGUUGAAGCUUCACCGCUUCACCAUAGUACCUGAAGGAGCUCUGCUAGAUUCGCCUGCGAAGAAGGAACCCGUCGGCAGAAUAGGUCCUCGUCACCCUCGUGAACAGUACGGAACCUUCCCCUUCGUUAUCUUUGUGAACCCUAGGGUUUACUCUCUACUAUUCAUCUAGAAGGAGCCCUACUAGAUUCGCCUGCAAAGAAGGAAAUCUUCGGCGGAAUAGGGCCUCCUUAGCCUCUGAAACAGUACAAAUCCUUCCCCAUCUUCAUCCUCGUGAACCCUGGGGUUUACUCUAUACUUUUCAUCCUUGUGAACCUAUACAGUAGAUUCACUUCAUUGUUGCAGAGAUUCGUCGAUGAGUCACCUCCAGAGAUAAAAGCUAGGUUUUCCCCUCAAAUCUGAAGAGUAUACCAUCACAUAUUCUCUAUUUGAAAGUCCUGCUGCUCCUCCCACAACCGAUCUCUCACAUCUACUCGGUAAGAACUGAGGUCCCCCCAAUUUUUCUUUAAACCCUAUCAUCAGCGAACGACGACUUGUCUCCAAAGAUUCUGAAGCAUCAAUUCCAUAGGAACUACACAUUGGGCCAUUCGAUUGAAAGGGAGGAAUCAAACGUUGCCUUCCAGUGUUUGUCCUUAAAUUUCAGAAUUUCCCGAUCGUGGUCAUAGCAGAAGUUUUCAAUUGCAUCCCUUUCUGUGACAUUCGCAUUGCAUCCCUUGUAGCUGAUAUCUGUGCCCUUCAUAAAAAAUAGUUUGAGGACAAACUCAACAUUCACAAAGGUUGGUUGGGACAAUAUUACAAAAGGGCUUGAAGCCGAAUUCAAAAGGCCCUUUGCGAAGCAGCAACUGCGUAACAAGAUGAAUAAGUUACACAAGGAGUACAACAACUUCAGGGCUUUGUUAGAAACAAUUGGUUUCGGAUGGAAUGCAAAUGCUCGGACUGCCACAACUGAUGAUUC